rnacentral:lncRNA from 1 species
UAUAUUAUAAACCCUAAGGGGUGACAAAUAGAGGAAUCAAUAUAGAGCUUUUUCUUCUAAAUUCUCUAGUUAUCUCUUUCUCUCUCUCUCACGCUCUCAUCUACGUUCCAAUCUAGGGCUUCUGCAUUCUCUUGAACUCUUCUUUAUUUUUCUAGAUUAACACUUAGGUUUCACGUAAGAUAUCGAUCCAUCACUGGUAUCGGAGAGAUACCAGAUCGCAACAAUUCGAGAGCACAACAUAGAGCUCAAAGGUAGGAUUGCCAAAGCUCUAAUAUAUACAAACACUUACAGCAACCUUUUCCUGC